GAGUGCUUAAUCUCUGGCCUUGAGGCUUAGUUUUUCUCUCGGUUUGGACUCGAGGCCACUGUCGCAACCAUGCUCCGCCAGAUCAUUGGUCAGGCCAAGAGGCAUCCUAGCUUGAUCCCCCUCUUCAUAUUUAUUGGAGCAGGAGGGACUGGAGCAGCACUGUAUGUCACACGCCUGCCAUUGUUCAAUCCCGAUGUCAGUUGGGACAGAAAGAAUAACCCAGAACCUUGGAACAAACUAGGUCCUAAUGAUCAGUACAAGUUCUACUCUGUGAAUGUAGAUUACAGCAAACUGAAGAAAGAAGGUCCAGACUUCUAAGUGAAAUAUUUCACUAUAAAGCUGAUUAGAAUGAAGGUCUUCCAGAAGCCAUCCGCACAAUUUUCCACUGAACCAGAAAAUAUUUCCCCUCUAAAUGCACGAAAUCAUGUUGGUGUAUUGUGUUGGGGUUUACACUGAUGAAUAAAUAGUCUGAAACUUGA